GAUGAACGCUAGCUACAGGCUUAACACAUGCAAGUCGAGGGGCAGCAUUGGAGUAGCAAUACUUCAGAUGGCGACCGGCGCACGGGUGAGUAACACGUAUCCAACCUGCCGCUUACUCGGGGAUAGCCUUUCGAAAGAAAGAUUAAUACCCCGAUGGUAUAAAGAGUUCGCAUGUUCUCUUUAUUAAAGAAUUUCGGUAAGCGAUGGGGAUGCGUUCCAUUAGAUAGUUGGCGGGUAACGCCCACCAAGUCUACGAUGGAUAGGGGUUCUGAGAGGAAGGUCCCCCCANAUUGGGACUGAGACACGGCCCAGACUCUACGGAGCAGCAGU
rnacentral:rRNA from 1 species